rnacentral:rRNA from 1 species
GCUUACGGCCAUACCACCCUGAGAACGCCCGAUCUCGUCUCAUCUCGGAAGCUAAGCAGGGUCGGGCCUGGUUAGUACUUGGAUGGGAGACCGCCUGGGAAUACCAGGUGCUGUAAGCU